CAAAGAUGAAAAAACGACUUUAAGAUUACAUAAUUGUAUUUUGUAAUUGUAAUAUGGAUCUAAAACAGUUACUAGACUUGAGAGUUGUUGGUUCUCCGUUUAUACUAGCUUGAAGUACAGAUACACCUCCAUUAGGAUGAAGGCGAAAAGAAUUUGGCCCAAAAACAAGAUAAUCUGGCAAGCAGAUAUGCCUACAUUGCGGAGGUUUCACCAUUUCCAAGAGACGAUCCUUCUGUAACUUGCUGUACGAAGCAGAGAUCACAUGU
rnacentral:lncRNA from 1 species